UUGGACAAUGGCUAAAUCAUUGGAUAUAGUUGCUUGAAUAAUCAUCCUUGUUUGUUGCAUUGGGUAUCAUUUCUUUUAUUAUUGUUCUCAUCUUUGCUCGUCGCCAUUUUCUGCAAAUCCAUUGUGUUCUGUUCAAUAUUCUUUUCUGCUCGCUGUUGUUAUGGACUCAUGUUUUCAUCUUGCUGCUGUUUUCAUCCAUUUCAUUCUCAUUGUGAGUUAGGUUACCUUCAAUCUUCAGAUUAAGAUUAUAUGUUUGUUUGAUUAAUUUCAAUAGAUUAUUAUGAUCAUCUGCCGUUUCAAAUUCAGAUUGUAAUUAGAUGACCUAAUAAAUUCAUAUUAUAAUUAGUUGUAGUAAUAAGUUCCUAUUGUAAUUUAGAUUGUAGAUAUUCUUUGACUAACUCUAUCAAAUUAUGUAUCUAUUCAUAAAUCAAUGCAAUACUCAUAUGAUGUGUUUCUUUUGUUGUCACUUCUCUUGUCAUGACUAGUUGAUGUCUCUUAUUUACUCAAUUUUCUUUUUACACGAUGUUUCAGGUUUUUGUGAUAAAAAAUGUUGAAUAAUGAAUGUGAUAAACCCAAUCUAGGAUGUGUGCAUUUGCUAGUACACUUUGAUGGUACACUCAUUGUCUGAUAAUGGACAUGAGAGAAUAACAACGAUUGAUAACCCCUCAUUGAGAAGAGACAAUAUCAAAGUCUUUUUUAGUAACAAUAAUAAUGUUAAGCUAGUAAGGUUAUAGUUUAUAUCUAUUUUAAGAGACCUUAGGGAUGUUACCGUCAAAUGUAAAAUUAGAAGGAUGUUUAACGGUUUAAUUAACGAUGUUAAGUUCAUAAGGGAGGGUUUUGUAUAUUUUAAGAGACC
rnacentral:lncRNA from 1 species